GCGGUUGUGCUGUACGCGGCGAUAGCGUCCAGGCUUCGCUCGAUCUACCUCCGCUGUGGGCUGCUGCUGCUCGCGGCGACCAAACCUUACUGCUCAGGUUCCAUUUUCGUUCAUUCCAAUGCUUGCUUUACUGCUUGCCUGGCCUCUGAAUGAAUUCUGCCUUGCGUGCUACUGAUUAGUGAUGGUGGUUGAGGUAACUACUUCCUGCUAGGUGCUUGCCUAGCUUCAGUGAGGCAGGCAAUAAUGCCGGGAUCAUACAUCUAGGAUACCUAUUAAUUCAUAACUUGUUUCUUUUCAAUGGCAGAUUUUGUGUACAAUCUUCAGAAUUACUGUAUGCUGCUCUGUCUGCCUGCAAGAACUUCCCCAGCAUGUAAUUCCGGUGAGGUUGCCGUCACCUCUGCACCGAACUCCUCGUGUCGAUCUGGCGGAGUAGGGUUCUUGCAAUUUGUCAGGGUGUACAAUCUGAACCAUCAAUUUGGUAUUUUUACUCAAGAAACUGAAUUUCAAAAUAUUUUAUUAUGGAUAUAUUUAAUUGGGAUAAUACAAGCAUGCCUGAAAUCUAAGCAGCUGAAUCUCUAGCUCUUCUGAAAAGCUGCUGCUAUUCAGGUGUACAAUCUGAACCAUCAAUUUGGUAUUUUUCCUCAAGAAACUGAAUUUCAAAAUAUUUUAUUAUGGAUAUAUUUAAUUGGAAUAAUACAAGCGUGCCUGAAAUCUGAGCAGCUGAAUCUCUAGCUCUUCUGAAAAGCUACUGAUAUUCAGUAAGUAUAAGUUAUAACCCUUACAUUGUACUUAAAGCGUUUCACUCCCCAUCCAUCCGCACCGCCACUCCCUCCCUAGCCCAACGAGGCAGCGACCCCCUCCCUCCCUUUCCAUGGCAGAUGCAGACCCGUUUCGAUGCCUUCCUUCCAACCACGGCGUCCUGCCUGACCGGCUCAGCGCGCUGCCUCUCGCGACGCCGGACGCCACGGUGGCGCCCAAGCCUCCCGUGCCGGAGGCCAUCUCAGAGAGCUCGAGUGCAAAUUCCCAUAUUGCUGCAAUUUGUUUGU